UUUUUUUUUUUUUAACUUUAGAAGCGCACCUUUUCUUGAAUUUUUUUUCUGGCUGACUUUUAUUAAGACGUUCCUCAGUUGAUAUCAGCAAUGUUUUGGUUCUUAUGCUAGAAAUGCUUGUCAGUGGCAUAAUGCUGUUCCCAGAAAUGAUUGUGUUGUUAAAACAUAGUUGUAAUGUUGUAUGCAUAACUUGUUUUUAUCCUAUUAUUUAAAAAGCAUUGGCUUUUAGUUGUUUUCCAAAAAAUGAAGUGAAAAAUGACUUCUCCUGGUCAUAUUAUUUGCUUCUUCUAUUUUUUUGAAUCAGUUCUCCUAGUAGAAAGCUUGCUCUUUUGGACCUUUUGUGCUUGUUGACUGAUACUGUUUAGUAGUUGUCACAAACUUAGCUUCUUCAUGCUAACUUAUACUGCUUAGCAAUUGAAUACAAACUUAGCUUAACUUGCUUUUUAUACACAUACACUUCUGCAGUUUUUACCAGCGGGUGAUUGGCACUGUCCAAAUUGCACAUGCAAAUUUUGUGGUAAUGGCAGUGACAUUGCUCAAGAGGAUGAUUUAAUUGAUUAUGCAAUUCUCUCUUGCAGCCUGUGCGAGAAAAAAUGUACUGUUUUCUUGUUUUUGUUUUUCUCAACUCUUGAAGUUUCAAGUUUCUGCAUGGCUUACUCGAUUUCUUUUCAGUAAUGUUUUGAUCAUUUGCACUAUUGCAGACCACAAAUCAUGCAUGGAAUUGACAGAGGAGCAUCAUAUUGAUUCCAACAGUUUAGUUCUUCCUUUUUGUGGGCAGACAUGCAGAGAGGUAAUAUGCUUUUCUUCUAUUGGCAUUGUGAUGCUGAAUAUUUUGUUUACAAGUUAAACCAAAAGUUAGGGGAAAUCUAUCGGAGAAGUGAACAUGCCCUUUAGAAACCAUCUUUAAAAGAUGUUAAACCUGUUUUAUAUCUUGCAUUAUGUUGUAGAGAAGGCAGAAUGUUUGUCAGAAAGUAUUUUGGUUUUAUUCAUGACAUGAUGAUAUUGACACAUUGUUGAUAUGCUUGUGGCUAACCAAAAAUAUUAUUAUGAACUCUAUUGAGGAUGAAAUGUUCUUUGCAUGUUAUGUUCACUUUUUUGGUAAUAUUUUUUAACAGAAAACGGUUCGUCUAGGGUUGUAAUGUGUUUUCUGGUAUUGUAUAUUAUGGCAUUUGACAUUUGACGUUGGAAUUUGUUUUUCUAUUUUGCCCCUUAAUCUUUUCAUGCCUCUGAAUCCCUCCUCUGUAUUUGGGUAUCAUUAGUUGUUCUUACAAAUGUACAAUGUUGGUAAGACAACAAUAUUCCUGUGUCACUGUAGGUAACUGUAGAGCUGUUGUCAUGAAGUGUAGUAAUAAAUUUCCUAUAUUUUGUAUGCGGUGCUUCAUUUCUAUUAUAGUAUUAUUAAAACAGAAAGGUUGUGUUUCAGGUGUGUAAUAUAUGUUAAUCUGGUAGAUUUAUCUUAGGUUAUAUCAUUUGAUUAGGAAUUUGUUUUUUAGGUUUUUUCCCUUACUGAUUUGAUGCAUUCUGAAUGCCUAGUUUCUAUCUCCUCUUCUUCUAUAGGGUUUGUUCUAGUUUGUGUUGUCUAUUUUUUUUUCUAUUAUAUUAUGAAGGGAUGUCAGAUAUGUGAAGGCACAUGUUCAGAAAUGUGUUUGUUGUUCCUACAGCUGUUUGAGCAUUUACAGAAGUAUCUAGGGGUCAAACAUGAGCUAGAAGCAGGAUUUUCAUGGUCUCUUCUUCAAAGAACAAAUGCAGAUUCCGAUACAAUUGCCAGGGCACUUCCACAGAGGGUGGAAUGCAAUUCUAAACUAGCUGUUGCACUGAAUGUGAUGGAUGAAUGCUUUUUGCCCGUUGUUGACAGGAGGAGUGGGAUCAACUUAAUCAAUAAUGUUGUUUAUAACUGUGGGUAAGCAUUUGAUACUGAUUUUAAAGUGGUAUUUGUUUCAUUAGUUUUUUCCUUAAUAUUGGCAUGUUGCUAGUAGCUGAUUGCACUUGAAUUACUUUGUCUUUUGGAUUAAUUUUUAUUCUUAAGUAUGAACAUUGUAUUAUGUGUUUGCAACCACAUUUAUGAUCCAUUUAUUGCAUUUCUCGUCAGAUUAUGGAUGUACUUCCGGCAAACUGUUUGAUAGUUAUACUGUGACGGUAUCCCGUGUUUUUCUGUAUUAUAACAAUUUUCUGAAAGGAUCCUAGGGAUAAACCUCAUACUUAACUGGUUUUUGAACUGUAGUUUUACAGUUUAAAGUUACAUCGAGCUCUUGUUUCUGUUAUGAUUUCAGUUAAUAUUUCUAUCCAGUAUCACUUUCUGCUUGGAUAACAUAUCGAGUAUUCUUCUGUACUCUGUUUGUUUGUACUUUUUGUCUUGCACAUCAAUUUUCUAACCAUUUGCAAAUGCUACUUUUUAUCUUUAAAGGUCCAACUUCAACCGACUGAACUAUAGCGGCUUCUACGCUGCUAUUCUGGAGAGAGGUGAUGAAAUAAUUUCUGCAGCAUCAAUCAGGUACACGAUUUUUUGGCAUACUAUGCUACUCUUUUCUCUCCUUGCAGCUAUUUAUCUUUGGUUGGGUGGAUAAACACGGUGAGGACCAGAACCGCCUAACAUGACAUAAGACCCUGACUCCUGGAGUAGAUAUUAUAGGUUCAGUGGGUUUUGAUGCAAACAUCUUGGUUAUAUCCUUCAUAUAAAUGCUUACCAAUUUGAUGUCUUAUUGCCCUGUUUAGGUUCCAUGGAACUAAACUGGCAGAGAUGCCAUUCAUUGGCACUCGCCAUAUAUAUAGGCGCCAGGGAAUGUGUCGUCGUCUUUUCUCAGCUAUUGAGUUGGUAAGCUGUGAGGAGUACUUCAUAUAACAUAUUAUAUUUCUGUAUUAUUUAUUUCUUAUUGUCCUUUAGCUUAAAUGUGUCGUCAUCUUUUCGUGUUUGGAGGCUCUCUGCUCUCUCAGGGUUGAGAAACUAGUCAUUCCUGCAAUUGCUGAACUUACACAUACAUGGACUUCAGUUUUUGGUUUCACUCCUGUAGAGGAAUCACUCAAGCAAGAUAUGAGAUCCAUGAAUAUGCUAGUUUUCCCUGGUAUAGAUAAGCUGCAGAAGCUACUUCUGGAGCAGGGAAACACGAAAACAAACUUGACUGCUGCUACAGGUUUUUAGUUAAUGCAACCGUUGCCAUUGUUUUAAGUUAUGUUUAUUCAUUGCUCUUUUAACUUGUCAAAUUUUGUUCAUGUAGGUAAGAAGCAAACUGAAUCGGGAUCUACGGAAUGUAUCGCACCUGAGGUGGCUAACAAAUUUAAACCCAGUUCCUUGUUUGGGCAUGAUACUGAAUCUGCAGCUGCAGAUUCAGAUUCCCAGUGUCCGAAUGUUUCUAUCAAUGAUACUUGUGGGACUAGUGGUUCCUUGGAUGCAUCAGUUGAACCUAAUGAAUCUGCGAUGAAUAGUAGACCUAAUGUUAACCCUAGCUCAAUCCACGAUGCCGACGAGACAGAAAUUAAGGCAGGAUUGGAUUCUCCAGCAGAAAAUAAUACUCAGUCUUGUAUGAAGGGUAUGGAUGAUACAAGCGUACGUGUUAUUGGAACUCAAGUCACAACCUCUGAUAACGGAACUGAUUCACUGUCAGGGGACAAGGCAGCUGAGUCUGCUUCGGAGAACAAAAACCAUGCGACCUCCUCUACAGACGAUAGUGCAGUAGACAUGGGAAAUCAAGCAGUAUUAGACUCUCCAAUCCCAAAAAGUACUCCAUCCUGUGAAGAGGUUGAUACGGAUGCCGCUGCCCUAGCUUCUACUUCUGAUGUCAAAACUGAGCUCAUGGUUGAAGAGACUAUUUGUACCAAUUCUGAAUCAGGGAAAUAAUCUUCUGUCGAUAUCUCUUCUUGUUUUAUGAUGAAAGUCGUGACGCUCAAGAGAGAGGGGGAAAAGAAGAUAGAAUUAGAUCCUUCUCCUGAUGAAGAUGACAUUCAAUCUUCAAAAUGAAGUGAGAACAGUAAUGUUCAUCCGGUCGAUAACGUAGCUGUUUCUGAUGAACUCGAAGUCCGAGUUUGAGUUGAGAAAACCACCACGCUUGCUGAUGAUUCCUAGCAGAGUCUGCUUCCCCUGAGAAAAUCAUUAAUCUCUGGUGCAAGUACACCCCAAGUUCUGAUCCAUCAGGUAUGGAAAAUAAAUCAGCAUUGGGUCUCUGGCAAGCGUGAUGUGUGUAAUUCUUUUAUAAUGGGGGCAGCUCAGCCCCCCACUGAAAAUCAUUUUUAACUUUUUGGGUCUAUUAUGUAAUUACCACAAAUUUGAGAAAAUAAUUUUAACCUUUUUCUCUCCCACAAAUUUUAAAUUGGAUAAAUUCCAUAACUGGUAAUCAAGACUUUUUGAAAUUUCUGUAGGGGGUAUUUUCUUUCACGGGAGGUAAUGGGACUUUGAUUUGUUGGAAUGUCUUCUUUAUAAAUUAAUUUAGUGGCACAAUUCAGUAAUUUCAUUUACUUUGUUGAGUAGAUAAAAUAUAGAAUUGUUUCAACUCAUUUAAUUAAGCUUGUUUUUCUAGUAAAUAAUUUUAAUUUACUUCAAAUUUAAUUAAUUAUUAUUGGCAAAUAAUUUUAUAUUAAAAUUAAUUGAGUUCCAAUAAAGUUAUGAAAUACUUAAGUCAAAUAUUAAAUUACUCUCUUAAUAGCUCGAUAAAUACUUAACCAACUUUAGCUGAAUUGUUUGAUUUCAUGCCAUUGUAGAAUUAGGUUAUUUUUAUUUAUUACCCCAUUUAACUAUUAGAAUAGUUUAUCUUCAAUUUGAUUAAAUAUAAAAUUAAAUAAUCCUUCCAACUAUGUUUGAUAAAUAAUAUUAAUAUUAAAAUGUGUAUCUUUUUAAAAAUUUAAAUUUUAGUUUAUAUUUUUUUAUUUUUUAGAAUUUAAUAUCUCUAUUUUUUACAUUUUAAAAUUUAAAUUCAAUGUUCAGUCAUAAUAUUUUUUAAAUUACAUAACUAUUAAAUGAAUAUUUUUUUUAAAUGUCAAAAAAAAUAAAAAAUAUUUAACAAUGUCGUACAAUUGAAAAUAAAUUUUAAAAUCUAAAAAGUAAAUGACUAAAUUUAUAUAUAUAUAAGAAUUAAAUUUUAAAAAUUUAAAAUAUUUUAACCUAAAAACAAAUAUUAAGUUUUAGUUUGAAAAAUCAUAAUUAACGACGCCGUAUCUGUUUUCGCCCUGCCAUCCGUCUCUGUUUGUAUUUUCUUCCCACUCCCCCUCUCUCUCAGAGCAUCAACAAAUGGAGCUUUCCAUUUCUUCUCGCCUACUCAACACCUCCUCCGCCGCCGCCGCAACUGCGCUACUAAAAUCCAAGCCCAGAGUUCAUCAUAGACAUACCUCAAUCCCUCUUCUUCCUCUCAAACACCCAUUCUCCCCUCUCACUUUGAAACAAAUGAGUAGCAAUUCCCAGGCAACGCUUUCUUGUUCCUCUCUUCCCCAAAACAACACCCCUCCUGCCCCAUCUUCCCCUUCAACCGCAUCAGGUAAAUCAAACCCAAACCCCAAAUACCAUAAAGAUCAUUAGAUUUAAUUUAUCUCAUCAUUUUUUUUGAAUCUCUUGGGGAGUGGAUUAGGUCGGAUUGGAGAAGUGAAAAGGGUAACGAAAGAGACGAAUGUGUGGGUUAAGAUAAACUUGGAUGGCACCGGAGUUGUUAAUUCUAGUACAAGCAUUCCCUUUCUCGAUCAUAUGUUGGAUGUAUGCUUCUUUGUUUUUUCCUAUUUUCCCUUUUUUGGAUUGAAUUUUUUUUAUGAGGUUCUAAUUGAUUUACUUUCGUGGUUUUUCUAAUCUUAGCAAUUAGCCUCUCAUGGUCUGUUCGAUGUGCACGUCAAGGCUACUGGCGACAUUCAUAUUGAUGAUCAUCACACCAAUGAAGAUGUUGCCCUUGCUCUUGGGACGGUGUGGUUUUUUCCCCCCUGCAUUUUACAUGAAUUUUAUUACUGAAAUCAUCCAGGAAGAAUGGACACCUCAAUUUCUUGCAAGUUUUGUGAAUAUCAUAUUAGUUUAUGUCAGCAGUUCAAGAUUUUGAUUUGCAUUGCUUAGUGAGUUAUCUGUCUCCUUUCAGGCAUUGCUUCAGUCACUUGGUGAUCGUAAAGGGAUUAACCGGUUCGGUGAUUUUUCAGCUCCUCUCGAUGAAGCAUUGAUACAUGUUUCACUGGUAUGACAUUGCAUUGCAUGGUUAUUUCUUAAGCAUGAUCUUAUGAUUCUAUUUGAAACUCAAAACUGUUGAUUUCUGUUUUGACUCCAAUAUAUUUCCUGAUAUUAGAUGUAUAGGUUCAGUGCUUAAUCCUAAGGCUUAAUCCUUGAACUUUAUAAUGUGGCAUGAUAAUAUGAUGGUUCUAUGAAAUGUUAUUGAAUUUAUGCGAAUGUAAUUCUUCAGAAAACCAUGUUUCAUAGUGAAUGUUCAAAUUCAUAACGAUGCUAAUUUCUGUAUUGUGUUUGUCCUAGGAUUUAUCUGGCCGACCGCAUUUAAGUUAUGAUUUAAACAUUCCCACAGCAAGAGUUGGAACAUAUGACACUCAGGUAAUACCUCAUUCUUCGUAUUCUUCUGGUACAACAAUAUCUGUUUUGCCGACUACAGGGGAAACUUGUCAAUGGGGUUUCAUCGUUUUAUAUUCCUUUCUUAAGCGGGUAGCUUCCGUAUUAUUGCUUGUUUUCGAAAUAUAUUAAUGCUGAAUUUCACCGACACAUUCUUAAAAUCUAAUAUUCACAGUUAGUGGAGCAUUUUUUCCAGUCAUUGGUCAAUACUUCUGGCAUGACACUACACAUAAGGCAGGUAGUAAUACGCUCAUCCUUAAAGGAACUCUUGUUCCUACUAAAUUCAUGCUUGUACAAGUUCUUUUUCAGAGCUUUAAUUGCUCUUUUAUAGUACUGCUAAGAAAUUUUGCAAGUAAUUGAGCUUAAGCACAUAUGUUAGCUAAUCAAUCAGCCAUAUCGUUCUUUUCAUAUUUACAGCUUGCUGGAAAAAAUUCGCAUCAUAUAAUCGAGGCAACCUUUAAGGCUUUCGCUAGGGCUCUUAGGCAGGCAACAGAGUACGAUCCACGUCGCCUUGGGACUAUACCGAGGUUCGGUUCCCUGCUAUUCUCAUCAACUAAAUGCAGAUCCUUAUACUUAUCACACCCUUUCUAAAGUAGAUUUCCAGUUUUUAAUAGUUAAGAUAGUUAUUAUGUUGCAUUAGUUUUUUGUUGUACUAAUCAUAUAGAUUAUAGGGGCAUAUUUGAUUGAUUUCAAAAGUAAAUUUCUUGAUUAAAUGAGUUCAUUGGUUUCAAGGAAGAAUCUAAAGGGGCAGGCAGGGCUUUGUCCCCCUUGGAUAAGAUGGUGAAAUUGUGUUUCUGGACCCUCUUGAAAAUUAGCAAUUUGAUUUUUAUCCUGACCCCAACCAAAAAUUUCUGGACCCUCUUUAAUUUAUUCAUAAUUUCAUAAUCACAUCCCAUUUCAUGAUACAAAUGUGCUUCCAUUAUUCUAAAGUUGUGAGCCAUUUGCCUUAUGCAGCUCAAAAGGAGUUCUAUCAAGAUCUUGAUAUUUUCCUUGGAUGUUUAUUUUAGUUUGAAGUUUUGGGUCUUUGAGAAAUUAAGAUGUGAGGCUCAAAAGUGUUGCUUUGGUUUUUUGGUUUUUUGGUUUUUUGGUUCCCCUCUUAAUAUUCCAUGAACAUGAAUUUGUAUUAGAAAUUACAAAGUAUUGUAAUUGGAAUUCCCCCUAUUUUGUAUGUCAUGAAUCAUGAUGAUGAACUAUGCUUUAUUUUUAGAGUAAUUUGCAUUGAACCAAUGUUAUGCUGGGCAGUUUAUUUAUAUAAACAUAAUGGUUUUUUAAAGAAAAUUACAAAAAUACUAGGAAAUCGGUAUUAUUUAGGAAGAGAUUUAUUACGCAACUUACACAUUCAUGGUGCGGUUAAAAAAUAAAUUUUAUUAAAAAUUCACAUGGUUACAAUGGCAAAAUUAAUUGUCUAUCAUGCUUGGUGUUUAAGGUUCUAAGUCUUAGUAUAAUUAAAUUUUUUUAUUAAUUUAUUGUAUAAAAAUAUUUGUAUAUGUGAGGAUAAUUUAGUAAUUUUAUAACUGAAUUAAUGUUCGAUUAAUUCAUAAUGUUAAUCCCGUAAAAUAUUUAAUAUAAGUAUGGAUAGAUUAAGAAUCACAUAAUGAGGGUAAAUUAUAUACGUAAGCAUAAUUUAAUAAUUUCAUCCUCGGUUGAUUCACAAUAAAAGAUAGAUUGAUAAAUUAAGAACCGCGUAACCAGGGUUUUAUAUAUAUUUUUCUCUGGAGGGCGGAGGGAGAGUGGGCAUUAGGCAAAGAUCAGUCGCGCCACAGGAAUAGAGGUUUCAAAUAAACCACGUCUGACCUCAUUAGUGGUUCACUUGUUUGGUCGAAUGAGGUACAAUUACCUAUUAAUAGAGGCUGGGUUUGAGCCUGGCCACGGCCUGAAAUUUUCUAUAAGUUCUUUUUCAAGCCCAUUCUGAUCGGGUUUAGACGGGCUUAAAAAGCCCAUUUUAUUCCAAAAAAAUAAGAUAUUUUUAUGAUUAAAAUAUAUUAUUUUAAAAUAGUAAUUUGUUGUAGUCCGACCGGAAAUUGCCUUUUCCAAGGCCUGGUCCACCGGGCCAGCAGGUAGCCCAGGCCUUGUACAUAUCUAGCUGUAAAGGUAUCAUCAAUGAUAUAUGAGAUAACGAGUUCAAGGUAGCAUGUUUUAAUAUUAUUAUGUUUCUUUUCACAUGGUUCACUUGAAAUUGGGUGGGCAUCUGUCUCUUACUGAUAAAAUGUUGAUCUUUUUCAUGCUUAGAUCAUUCACUCAUUGUAGGCAUUCCAUGGUCUGCUUCUUGUGCUCAGAUUCUUGCAUGCUUAAAUCAUCCGUUGUAAAAUUAUAAAACCACUAGCAGCAUAUGGAAACCUCCUGCUCUUCAAUCCAGGCAUUAUGAAUAAAUUUAUCUCAUUUUCAUCUUCCUUAGAACUAUGCUUUUCACCUGUCGAAAUUCAAGUUCUAGAUUGAAAUAUGUAGGUGGUUGGCUGGAUGUGUGCAUGCCAUUGUGUUACUAUUUGGUGCCAACCAGUGAAUCGCAAAUAAGUGAGCCCGUACAUGUUUUGGCUUGCACCAUGUGAGUGUUUUAACAUCUUGUCAGCAGCCAUUGUCUGUGCAAAAACCUUUUGAGGGGUCUUAUGUUUGGAGUAGAAAACACAGUUACUAGAGUUGUCUACUGCUGAAUCUAGAAGAUGCUUUCUAUGGCUAAUAUCAACCCUGGUAGAGAAGGUCAUCUGGGUAUUAUAGUGGUCAAAUCUGCCGGUGAUCAGUCGGGCCUGAAGGAUGCUAUCAGGUUUGCUGAAUGUUUUGAGAAGGAACCCCAUGGCCAGAAAAGUUGGUCCCAUAUACAGCCAUUGACACUAGGCAAGGAAGGAUAUAUGAUUAGUCUCAUGAAGGUGAAUGAGAGGACUGGAGAGAAAAAAAAGGACCUUUUAUGGAAUCUUGGAACAGUUGCUGGUCCAGAUAAGGUUGAUUUUGAUAUGAGGAAGAGGUGUAUGAUUGAAAAUCAGAGAGUAGUAAAUUCUGGCCAACAUCGCAAAGUACAACUAUUUAAUUCUGUGAAUAACUGGUCCAUAGAUUUCUAUCAAAAGAAAACUGGUCCGUAGAUAUUCCCAUUUCAUGGUGCUGUAAGAAAAUGAGUUUCUCGGUCGUGUUGUUUUAAUGGAUGACAUUAUUAGGUGUUAGACUUGAGUUGCCAAAAACAUAUAGCUCGUUUUAUCAAGGUUAAGGUAUUAGAUCUUGGACUGUGAACUAGCAGCUGAGUCUGUGGAGAUUUCGCAAUUUUGCAUAUAUUAUGGUGGGAUUGUGACCAAAAUCCUUUAUGAUAUCUAAUCAAUUGAUGACAGUGGCAUGGUUAGCUUUACUACCACAUGGCCUUUAUACUCUUUUUUUUUUUUUUUUCAAUUAUCAUGGUAGACAUGAUAAUUUUCCAUGUAUUUAUGUUGGGACUAUGAUAUUUUUAAAAGUUAUUUUUUGUGUAUUGUGUUAAAAGAGUGAACAAUAAUGCAAAUCAAGAGUUUAAGUUUGUCUUCACUAUUGUGUUCUUCCAUGAAAGAAGAAUGAAGAGCAGGUAUGGCUUUGGUUAUUGGGUGUGGAUGCUUAGGAUUUUUUUGGAUGGCCAAAUGGCUAAUGGUUUAGGCUGAUGAUAUGAUCUGGCUUUGUUUGCAUUGUACAUAAAAUCUAUACUUUUGAUUAUUGUAUUCCUAUGCCAACUUCCAUUCUUUCAUUAUUUAUGAAGUAAAUAAUGAUACUAUUUAUGUUUAUUCAUGUGAAUUAGUAGUCCUUUCACCAUCAUCCAGUCAUUGAAAUCAACAAUGGGUGGUGGUGCUGAAUGGAUAUGGAUUUGAGAAUCAGCAAUGCCAAUGAAAGGGGCAGGGCGGCCUUGAAAAUGGGAUCCUAGCACUAAUUAAGGGCAUGUUGUCAAAAAGCCUAGUAACACAAAUUCUAGCCAGAGUGGAUUGGGUAAAAAUCUCAUAUUGGUCUUAUACUAAGAGUUAGAUUGUAUUGGUCUUAUACUAAAAGUUAAAUUGUAUUUUGCCCUUUCUACUAAAAAAAGGGGUAAACUAAUAUUUGUACAUUAGAUCAAAUAGCAAAUUAGUCAUGUCUAAUAAAAAUAUUAUUCGUUUGUAUUGUUAAAAACUGACGUGAUUGAUUAAAUAAUCAUAUACACGCCACGUGUGCUUCAUACCGAUGUACAGGACUAGUUUUCUACUAGUCGAAAUAGAUAGAAUUUUUAACAGAAUGAUCAGUUUGCUCUUAAGUCUGAUGUAUAUGGACUAAUUGACUCAAUUUUUAAGUAGAGUGAGUAAAAUACAAUCCAACUCCUAGAACAGAAGACUCCAUAAUAAUUUCAUUCUAAUUAAAAUAUAAAAGCUCAAGUAUGCUUGUAAAUUAUUUGAGUCAUGUAUUAAGGUAUUAGAAUUUGAUCAUUAACUUAGGGUGAGUUUGGAUGGUCGAUGUGUUUACCUGUAUUUUUUGUGAAAAUAACGAUGGUGAUGAGAUUAAAUAUUAUAGCGAUACUGUAGUAUGAGAUAAAAAGUAAGCUAAAUAUACCGAACCACCCAUUCAAAGAAGGGUUAACAUAUACGAAAGUACCUAAAUUUGACAACUUUUACCUACUUGUUACAUCAACUUAAUAUUUAUUUAUAUACUUAUUAAAAUAAAUUGAUAUGACAUUGACGAUUAAUAACAAUAUGACACAUAAUAACAGCAUAUUUUGACAUGUGAGAAAAUUUUUUUAAUAAAUUUUUAAUAUUUUUUAUUAUCACAUCAUCAUAUUAAUGUUAAUGAAGUACUUAAAAAAUAUAAAAAAAUUACAAUUUUCAAAUUUAAAUAUCAACUAAGUUAAAAAAAAAAAGUUUAUGACUUAGAAGCAUAUAUAAAUUGGGUGAAGAAUGAAGAGAGAAGAGGUAGUGGAAUUGGACAGUGAUUAGCAAGAAGAAGAUGAAUGGUAGUAGCAUGAUAAGUCAUGAAAAUGGAGGGAUUUCCAAACCUAUUUAAUCAAGCAAGCAAUCUCAGAAAAAAAAAUCAAAAAAAUUUGAACCAACCAUGUCUUAUCAUUGUCACAUCUUCAAAUAUCAUUGUCAUUCUCGCAUGUAAACCCCAACUGGGGGCGGUUCGCAUGGAACAUUACAUUUAACCCUUUUAUAUUUAUUUCUUUCCUACAAAUUAGGAAUUAUCAUUUUUAUGUUUUGAAAUGAAAAUUAUAAUUAUUAAAGUCACAACAUUUGAUUUGGUGUUGAGGGGUCGAAAUUAAAAAAAAAUGGGGUUAUAAUAAUAAAAAUAUAAUUUUAUUUUAAUAAUUUAAUUUUUAUUAUUUUUAUCAUUUUUAAUGAGAUCAAAAUAUAAUUUUAUCUUUAUUAAUUUAAAUUUUUAAAAAUUUUAAAUAAUUUUUUUUUAUUUUAGAGAGAACUGGGAUCUUAACAACCUCUUAAGUUACACCCUUAGUGUUGAAGUCAACAAAGUAUUUCAAGCCUCCUAAUAAAAGUAUUAUAAAAGUUUCUCUAUACUUUAUCUUUUCUAUUUAGAAAAUUAAUUAAUUAAUUUUUGUGUAUAAUAAAUUAAAUAGUAAAUUUAUCUCUUUUUUUAAAUUUUAUUUAUUUACAUUAUUAAAAAUUGAAAGACAAUGACAUGUGACAUUUUUAAAACACGAAUAAACUAAUUUAUUAUUUUUUGAAUAUAAAAAUUAAAUAUAAUUGAAUCUCGGGUAUUCACUGGAAUUGUAAUACUCAAGUAGAGUAAUUAGGCUUUAUUCGAAGGAUAUUUCUAAGCUCUCUGCGGAGUUGAUGAUAAAGUUUAGUGAUACUUAAAUAUAACAAAAUCUAAUUUGUGUGAUGUUUUGUAUAAAUAAUUAUCAUAUAAAAUUUUUAAAAAUAUUUAACAUAUUAGUAUAUAUAUAUUUUUGAAGCUUUUUUUGAAAAAAAAUUAUUGUAACCCUCCAUAUUUAAAUUCCACCCAAUGGGAAACAUCAUGAUAGCCACCCUCAUCCUCACGUGUCCAACGUUACACCUUUCCAACCAAGGGUUCCACACGCAUAAUGGACCCCAUCGUCUCUGUCUCUGUUCAAUGAACAAACCCAUUCUCUUUUUCUCUAUAAACAUAUUUAAGGCUUUUCUUUAAAAAAUUUAUUUGUUAAAAUAAGUUUUUUUAAUUAUUUUUUAGAAUAUAUUUUUUUAUUUACAGGUGUCGAGUUUAAUAUAACGUUAAAUCACCCUAAAAGUGUUUCUUGCAUGUCAAGAGUGAAGGACUCUGAAGUAUAAUCAACUUGGCUCUCUCGGAACGUCAAGUUAAAUAUUAUGAAGUUUAAUUAUAGAUUUUAUUUUUCUAUAUGCUUAAAUCAACUCAUUUAAUAUAAAAAAAUCAACUUUUUCUCUUAUAAAUAUCCUACACGUUUCUCUUUUCUUCUCUAUGAAAGUACUCUCAAACUCUUCAAAAAAAAAUUGUUAAUUUCUACUUUUUUCGAGAUAAAAAUGGUUGCUUUUGUGGUAAACUUUUUAAUUCAAUCUUUUUAAUUUUGUAUUUAUGAAAAUAUUUUUGAGAUUUUUUAAAUUAAAUAUUGAUUUUUGUGAUAUUGUGGAUAGCAAAAAAAAUAGUUGUUUUUGCUCACCAUACUAUAAAAUUUCUGGAGGUUGAUAGAUAGUAAACCACUUGAAGAGAGUUACUUUUGAUAUGGCAUCUAUGAUGACAUAGUUCAUUAUGAUAUUAGAGUUGCUUUUCGUUUUGUUGGAAAAAUGGAAGGAAAAAACUGCAUACAUUUCAUUUUUUAUACGAGGAAGUGACUAUAAUGCUGAAAAAUGUCUUUUUAAUAAUUGACCUUCUAAUCAACAAGUAAAUUGUAGUUGCAGCUAGUAACAUCAACUUGAAGCAUGAGUGUGAGUGUGAGUAGUUGUUGGGUCUUAUGUCAUCUAAAAAAAAGAUAGAUGAGAACCGGGUGAAAUGCACAUGAUUGGAGAGACGUCUCAAAUCAGCCAUCCACCUACAGAUUCAUAUGUGAAAGCUUGGAUACUUUGAAUGCUAAGAGGAAUAUUGUUGCCAGACAAGUCUUGCAACAAGGUCCAUACCAUGUAUCUACCUUUACUAGAGUAUUUUGAGACAAUUGAUAAAUUCCACUGGGGUUCAAUGACUCUAAUGUAUCUGUAUAAGGUGCUUUGCAAGAUAACUCAAUAACCAAUCAAUGAAAUAAAUGGUUAGCCCAUAUCCCUUUCUAACUAUGAGAGCUCCCUUUUGAUAGAAUGUAAAUAAAUAAUUGUAUGUAACAUCUUAAGAUGUAUUCAAUUAUCAAUAUUUAUAAACCCCUAUUGCACUACAUAUUUGGAUAUAUUUAAAAACCAUUCAAAUCAUGUGUGUUAUAGAAUAGACUUUACUUGAAUGUGAGGAGAAAUCGACCAACAAGCCGAUGAAGAGAUAUUUUGAUGUUGUAUUCACAUCAAAUGCAACUCAUUAUUCUUGUUAAUGACUAGAAUUGCAUUUGCAUAUGUUUGCAAUUCCUAUGGAUGUCAUACCUAGAUAGAAUGAUGUUUGCAAUCAUAUUUGGGAUAACUUUUGAGCAAUAUGAGUUAUUCAAGGUGCAAUGUCCAUCAUUUGUUUCCAUAUUGUGGAGUGCUGCCACCUUGAUUGGGUAAAACAAUAGUUUGAGCUUGUGCAAGAUAUUUUAGGCGACCCAUAACACAUCGAUUUUGUAUGAUAUAAUUGAGGGGUAGAAAAACAUCAGUCAAUGGAGUAUGUUUUUUACAUUCGGAAAAAAUGAUACCUAAUGGCUUAGCCAAAUAGGUCAUGGGUUAUAGUUUUUGGAUGAUUAAAUGGCUGCUAGGAUCAUCAAAAGUCAUCGAGCAGAAAAAUGUUAAGGAUCACGGAAAUGGGUUAAGGCUUUUCACAAACCUAAGCUUUAAAGUUUGUAACUAUUGUGACAUGGAUGACCCGUGACAUACAUUGUUGUAUUUAUGUUAGUAGCUUGGAUUAAUCAUUGAGGUUCAUCAUUUUUUGUGGCAAUAGGGAAAUGAUUUGUGCUAAAUCUUUUAGGGAAAUGUAAUAGUAAUUUUCCUAUACUUAAAUAAAUUUUCUUCAAUUAGAUGUCUUAUAUAAAUUUAACUUUGUAUUCACUUUUCUCCUUACUAUUUAUCCAAUGUUUUAUCAACAUAAACGCUAAAAUUGAAAACCUAAUUAAUGAAAAUGAACCAUAAAAAAACAAUUAAAAUGGAUUCCUAAUUUAAUAAAAAGUAUUGGCAAAUGUUAUUGUUAUGCCAUCACCUCAACUUGGACACGUGGCAACUUUUGAAGCAACUAAAGAGAUACUCACGGAUGACCCUCCGCCUUAUACCAUCCAGAUGGUUGCUCUAUGAUCAGCCACCCACAGGAAGGUCAUCUAUCAUUAGCCAUCUAGUCGCCUCCUUCCCUUGAGGGAGGCUAUCUAAGGAUUACUGAAGUCCAGCUACUUAUACUACAUCUACAAGAUAAUGUCAGAGUCGUGCACAAUAAGAAACCUUAACUCGAGAUUGUUGGUAACAUGAUGCAACUGGACAGGAGACUUCCUACCUAUAAGUAUCCUAUGGCACAAAAUAGGAAGGGAUCUCAUUUUUCCAUACUAAUAAUCCUGGAUUACAACAAAACACUGCUUCUUCCUCCUCCUCGUCUUCUCCCGCCUGUUUCUUACUCUCCCCAUUGAGAAUUUCGACUCUCCGCCUAUCAUAGGUAAACUAGCCUCAUUGCUUUCACUACCAUCUCCUUCGUAUCUUACCCAGACUGAUACCUAGUAUCAAUAGUUGUAAUAAAUCAAAAUGAAUUAAUAAAAAAACAAAAAAAUGGAAAAAUUUUAUGUAACAUCUCCAAUACCCCCUAAGUCAUGAACCGUGUUAAAUCAAUAGUAAAUAUAUUAGAAUUUGAGAAGGUUAUAAGAUAGAAGUUAUCUUUGUUAGUUGAUGGUGAAGAUAGAUACAGAGGGUAAAUGAAAAGGCUCGCAUAUUGUGAAAAAUAAAUCUAAGGUAUCGACUAAAUUGUAAGAGAGUGAAAAGUAUUGGGACAAAAAUGAAAAAAUUAAGAGUUGAAAUGAUUAGAUUGAAUUGAAGGAGAGGAUGAGAAACUAAAGGUGAAUUUUUUACCAAAAUAGGGUGCGACUCAUGAAUGGUAUUGUAGAGAAAGUUUAGGAACUAAAUGGUCAAUCUAUAAUUUAGAUAGUUGUGACAUGUUGAUGAUUAAUGACUAAAUUGGUGUAAAAUGGUAACGAGUGAAAAUAUUUUAAUAUUUAUUGUUUUUUAUUAUUAAAUUAAUAUAUAUUAUUUUAGAAUACUUUAGCAAGAUGAUUAUAUUCAUUCAUCUCUCCUCCAUUCUCAUGCUACUCUCUUUUCUCCACCUUCACAAAUUUUAUUUUUAUUACAAUUAGGUCCUUAUUCUCGUAUCUCUUAAGUAUAUAUAACAUACCUAGGUGAAUGUUUAUGUAAGUAAAUAGGAACUAAUUGAUUCUCACACUUGUGUUUGAUGUGCUUUAGUAAGUAAAUAUAAUGUAUUAUUUGGCAUAUGAGUUAUGGCUUGUGCUUGGAAUCAUUAGGAAUGAUUUUAGUAUGGUUUGGAUGUAUUUGAAAAUAGAACUUCUAGGUUAUCUGUCUCAAGUCUCGAGACAUAAGCCCCUAACAUUAAUUAAAAAGAUGAAUUAAAAAAAAACUUGAAAACAAUAUAUUUAUUAAUUAAAAACAUUAAUUAAAAAUUAAAACAACACAAAAUAAAAAAUACAAAUGUAAGUAGGAGAUGAAUCGAAUCUAAGACUCAAGGACAAAACUACUAAUAUUUAAUUAUCUAACCAAAAGAAUUGAUAUGUUAAAAGAAAACAUGUUUUGUAGAAAGCGUUUUCCACAUGUUAGCUGAAAAUGCUUCCUCCAAGUAGUGUUUUUUGUUUCUCCCUCCAAAAUUGACCUAUUUCUCUUAUUUAGGAAAAAACGACUUACCUUGCUAAAUAUGUUUUAAAACUGACAUUUUUUUUAAUUUACUCAGAUGUCACACUUUAAAAUUAUAAUUAUUAUAUUUACUUAAAAGAUUUAUUUAUUAGUGUAAUUAUUAUGAUUAUUAUUGUAACACCCCUUAACCCCAAACCGUCACCAGAAGAGGAUUAUGGAGCAUUACCGGAGUUUACAGAAUAAUUACACACAAUUCCAUUAUUUUCUUAUGUUUAUGUCAAAGCUGUCUUCUUGAGCAGCAGUCACUAAAAUAUUUAUAACUGGAGCUACGAAACUUCAAAUUAAGUUCCGUUAAUUUUCCUUAAAACUAGACUCAUAUACCUUCUACCAUAAAAUUUUCAGAAUUUUUAAUAUAGCCAAUUAGUACAGUUUAUUCCUCAAAGUUACCCCUGGUCUGCUAUUUGACAACUUCGACCAUUUUUUACUAAAAUUUAAUUAUCUCAUAGCAUAGGACUCGUAUGAUGUUCCCGUUUAUUUCUCUUGAAAGUAGACUCAUUAAAGAUUCUAAGCAUAUAAAUUAUAGCUCAUAAUUAUUUUUAUAUAAUUUUUAAUGAUUUUCCCAAUUCAGAAUAGGGAAUUCCAAAAUCAAUCUGACAUUGUAUCACAAAAAUUCAAAUUCAUACCAAAUUAGUCAAAUCCUAUUUUAUACCAUAACCAAACCUAAAUUUAUUUAUUUCAUCCUUACAUUUACAAUUUCAAAAUGACACACACACAAGACAUCCUAGGUACAUGCCAUUACCCAUAAUUAACACACUUUACCUCAUUGAAUUCGGGAUCGGCCUGGGAUGCUGAUUCAACAUUCUAUCUUUACUUUACCUGCGCACGGAAACAAACCGUACGCUGAGUAUGGUAUACUCAGUGGUAUUUCUAUAAUCCGAACACUUGAUAAUAUAACAAUUAAACUUAAAAUCACAAUAACAAAUAUAACUAUUCAUUUAUUUAUUUUAUAGAUAAGUUUCAUUUACUUACCAUAAAAAUUCUAUACAAGCCAUAUAACAAACACAACAACAUAUUUGCUCAAUUCUUUUCAUUUGCUUACCGUAUAAAUUAUUUACAAUAUAUUCACAAUUCAUUUGUAUUCACACUUUACUUCUUAACAAUAUACCAUUUUAAUUCAUUCUAACAUCAAUCAUCAUCCAUUUGAACUUCACUCAUUUCAUGAAACUUUUGGUUCAUGUUUUCAAUCUCAUAUCUCAAUUUCAAUUCUCAAUUCAAUUUCUCAUUUCAUUCCAAUAGCUCAAUCAAUCAAAUUCACUCGAUUUAUCUUUUCACUUAUUUACCGCAAUUAACAAGACUCAGACUCUGAUAGAUACCAGAAUAUCCAACCCAAACACACCCGGAAUAUUAUAAAUCCUCCAUAACACACCAGUAUAUCAUAUCCUCCCAAACACACCAAUAAGAAAUUAAAUGCCUCUUCGGAUAAACCGAAGUAUAUAAUAACAGAAACAUCUUCUCGGUCGAACUACAAAUCUUCCCAUCACAUCACAAAUCCAAUGGCAUGCCAUUUGUAUCCAAUCUGGUCCGAUACUGUUAAUAGGGUAUUUGAUUCACUUUCUCAAUUUAAUAAGUCUUUAAUCAAUAUACCAUUCUAAUAAUCACAUAUAUUCAUAUCAAUUCCCUCAUAUUUUCAAUCAAUAUAAUUUUUUUUAAUAUAACAUUCAUUCAAUAUUCAAAUUUUUACAUAAAUCAUAUAUAUAUAUUAUAUUUCAAUCAAUAUAAAUUCCAUCAAAAUGAUUUCAAUCAAUAUAAAUUUGAUAAAUUCAUCACAUACCAAAAUCAAUCCAUUUCAAUUGUAAAAUAUCAUAAUUCUAACACUAAAUAUAAAUAUAACAAAUAAUGACUGAGUUCAGAUUAUAGAAAUAUAAACCGUAUUUUCUCGAGCUAACUCCCGUUGUCUUUGCCAUUUUUCCUUGCUUAGCCGAGAUUUCCCGAGACAACAUUAGCUAUGGGAAUUAAAACAAUUCAUAUUCGUUAAUUCUCUACUAAUUUAUAUCUAAUUAAUAAAUUUGGAUUCAAUUUCUACUUUAAUUUCAAUUUAAUCUUAACUAAAUUCACUUACUUUUUCUAUCUCAAUUCAUAUUUCAUUUCUAUUCAAAUUUUGUCCAAACUCAUACUUAACUAUUAAAUUUUCAGCAUAUUUUCCUAAUUUCAAAAAUUUCAUCAAUUUAGUCCCUUCAACAUAAAACUUAUGAAUUACUUUACAAUUCAAUCCUUAUUUCAUUUCUAACUUGAAUUCCUAUCAAUCUAACCCCUAAUUCAUUUUUUUAUUCAACAUGAACAAUAUUUAGAAUUCUAAUAACUUUCAAAAUAUUAAUUUAAUUUCAUCAAAACUUUGUUCUAAAGCUUUUAAAACAUCAAAAUUAAGUAAAAAGGGCUAAAUUAACUUACCUAUUAAACUUCCAAACCUUCAAACCCCAAUUCUCCCUUUUUCUUUUCUUUCUCCUUUCUUUCUUUCCUUCCCCUGCUUUUCGUUUGCCUAUUCUGUUUCUUUUUUUUGUUUCCUUUCUCUUUUUCUUUAUUUAUUUACUAUAUAUAUAUAUAUAAAAUAUAAUUAAAAAAAUCUAUAUUUAAAAAUCUAUUUAAUAACAAAUAUUUAUUUAACACUUGUAUGCAUUUUUUAUUAUUACACAUGUCACAAAUUUUACCAUACAUUUGUCAUAAUUUAAUAUAUUUAUUACAUAAAAAUCUCAUAAUACAAUUAUUUAAUUAAUAAAUAUCUUAUUUAAUAUUAAAUACUAAUAUUACAAUUGUACACACUUAUAUUUCACAUUUGUACCAAUAAAUUCAUUACAAUUGUCAUUAUUUAAUUUAUUUAUUAAACAAAAAUCUCAUUAUUUAAUUAUUUAAUUAAUAAAUAUAUUUUAUUCUAAAAUUAAGUAAAUAUACAAUUAUAUUCCAAGUAUUCAAAUACAUAUAUUACACUUGUACAAUUUUAUCAUCACACAUUUGUCUUUAUUUCAAUUUAUUUCAUAAUAUAAUAACUUAAUAUCAAUUAAAUAAUAAUAACCAUAAUAAUAAAUUAAUUAAUUAAUAUAAGAAAAUCCUAGACUCUUUCAUCUUUUGCCGCCUAAAUUCAUACAUUAGGCAUAAUGGCCUAUUUGGUCCUUUUUAUUUUCUUUUAAUCUACAAUUCAACUUUCAUCAUUUAUUCAAUUUAGUCAUUUUUCCUAAUUACUCUUAAUUAAGCUAAAUUCACUUAAUUAAAAAUCUAAUUAACCACUCGAUUAACUUCAUAAAUAUUUUUAAUAAAUAUUUUCUAAUCCAUUUUUCAAAAACAGUGAUCCUAAAAUACACCUUUCUAAUAACCUUAAAGUUUGGGUCGUUACAAUUAUGAGUUAUAAAUUAUGGUUGGUGAUACAACAACUUUUAAUGAAUUAUUAUAAUUUAUAAAUUUAUUUUAUAAACAUAUAUUUACUAAUUGAUAUAUAAAUUGUAAUGAAAAUAAAAUUAUUAUAAUUUAACAUAGUUUUAUAAAAGAUGAGACUAAAAAUAUUGAAAGAACUAAACUUGUUAAAAAUUUUAUAAUAAAGACAAUUCAGUAAAAUAUGUUUUUAACUAAUUGACAUGUCGCCAACUAAAUACAAAAAAAUUUACAUUUCGAUCAAAUGAACUAAAUAAGGUAACGUAACAUACCUAACAAUGUGCUAAAUUGAAGUCAACUAUCCUUUUCUUUGGUAUAUAUUUUCAAGUGAUAUUUCAAAUAUAUUUAUUUGUUUAUUAUUAUAAGUUGAAAAUUUUUAAUAUUUACUUUAUUAUAUUACAUUUUCGUAUACUAAAUUUUGCUUGAAAUACUACUUUUAUGAAGAUUUAUCAUUUUUUUUAUUGUUUAAGUCAAAAUUACUUUCAAGCCAUAACAAAUAACAUGUUUUAAUAUUAAAAACUUAUUUGUUUAAGAAAAAAACAAAUUCUAUAAUAAUAAUAUAAUUUAAUAAAAUAUACAUAUUUCAUGAAUUAAAUAUCUCAACCAAUUAAAUAAUCUUAUAUUAUUAGAAAUAAUAUUAUAUUUUGUUAAUCUUUAAGACCGGCAGGAUUCAUCUUUCCAAGCUGAGUUUGAGAUAAGUGUUCCAAUAUUUUUAAUAGGGUCAAUUUAACCGGUUUAAAUUAUUAUUUAAUAAUAAAAUAUGUUAUUUUAUUUAAUAAUAAUUAUGAGUUAAAUUAAAGUUUAUGUAUAGGUUUUGAUAUUUAGUGCUGUUUAUAAUUUGUAUUUAUUUUUCCUUUUGUGUCUAUGUUUUUUUUUUUUACUUUUUUCUGACGCAUCCCAUGUGGGUACGUGGACUGCAGUCCCCACUAGACCACUACCUUUUACUUUCCCUCAGCUUUUUUUCCACUUCCUUCUUUUGCUUUUUCCGGUUUCGAGAAAAGCAUUCCACUCACUUAUGUUUUUUUUAAACACUAACAACCAAACACCCCCCUUAUCCUUAUCCUAGGCACCCCUUCGCUCUAUCCGCGCAUUUUAGUGUCACUCCUUUAUCCUACGCACCAUCGUGUAUGGUAGGCUUAUUAUAGCCCAUUGCUUGUCAUCAUUUUUUUCUCUACUCGUUUUCACACGUGUCUUCCAAUGAAUUACCCACGUCAUCGUCUCUUAAGCCUUUUUACUUCCUGUUUUUCUCCGUUGUUAGGGUUUCUAGUUUCUUUCUUUGAAAGAAAUAUUUCUUUCUUUUUUUUCUUUUCGACUUUCGGCUACUGAGUCACCAAACGAGUUAAGGAAAAGAGAGACGAGUUUCACCAAACCAUGGGGUCGAUCCCCGAUCCUGGCGAGUUGACCGAGUUAACCCAGCCGAGUUUCGAUGAGUUCCAGCGUCAAACGUCUCUGAUGACGAGCUGUACUCUCCUCUGGAAAGAACUGUCGGAUCACAUAAAUUCACUUGAGCAGAACCUGAUAAAGCAGUCGGAGACCUUGAAACGCAAAAUCGAGGCACUGGACUCGGAGACCAAGGCUUCACUCGACUCACUCAAGAAGCGGGAACUCAGUAUCGAGGACAGUGUCAAGAUCGCACUCAGCCGAGUCGAGUUCAACACCAAAGCUGCCAUGAGGACCCUUGGCGAUGACGUUGAAGACAAUCCGGACGGUGAGGUCGACGACGGAGACGGACUUUUGC
rnacentral:lncRNA from 1 species